rnacentral:rRNA from 1 species
GAUGAACGCUGGCGGCGUGCCUAAUACAUGCAAGUCGAGCGAACGGACGAGAAGCUUGCUUCUCUGAUGUUAGCGGCGGACGGGUGAGUAACACGUGGAUAACCUACCUAUAAGACUGGGAUAACUUCGGGAAACCGGAGCUAAUACCGGAUGAUAUUUUGAACCGCAUGGUUCAAAAGUGAAAGACGGUCUUGCUGUCACUUAUAGAUGGAUCCGCGCUGCAUUAGCUAGUUGGUAAGGUAACGGCUUACCAAGGCAACGAUGCAUAGCCGACCUGAGAGGGUGAUCGGCCACACUGGAACUGAGACACGGUCCAGACCCCUACGGGAGGCAGCAGUAGGGAAUCUUCCGCAAUGGGCGAAAGCCUGACGGAGCAACGCCGCGUGAGUGAUGAAGGUCUUCGGAUCGUAAAACUCUGUUAUUAGGGAAGAACAGAUGUGUAAGUAACUGUGCACAUCUUGACGGUACCUAAUCAGAAAGCAACGGCUAACUACGUG